rnacentral:rRNA from 1 species
GAGCGGCAGCGGGAAAGUAGCUUGCUACUUUUGCCGGCGAGCGGCGGACGGGUGAGUAAUGCCUGGGGAUCUGCCCAGUCGAGGGGGAUAACUACUGGAAACGGUAGCUAAUACCGCAUACGCCCUACGGGGGAAAGCAGGGGACCUUCGGGCCUUGCGCGAUUGGAUGAACCCAGGUGGGAUUAGCUAGUUGGUGAGGUAAUGGCUCACCAAGGCGACGAUCCCUAGCUGGUCUGAGAGGAUGAUCAGCCACACUGGAACUGAGACACGGUCCAGACUCCUACGGGAGGCAGCAGUGGGGAAUAUUGCACAAUGGGGGAAACCCUGAUGCAGCCAUGCCGCGUGUGUGAAGAAGGCCUUCGGGUUGUAAAGCACUUUCAGCGAGGAGGAAAGGUUGGUAGCUAGUAACUGCCAGCUGUGAGAUUACUCGGAGAAUAAGCACCGGCUAACUCCAUGCCAACAGCCUCGGGGAUACGGAGGGUGCAACCGUUUGUCGCAAUUACAGGGCGU